AUGUAAGAAAGAACCAGAGUCCCCUGUGGUGAUCUUAGUGGUCUUUUCCAACCUUAACAAUUCUAUGAUUCACCCUGAAGAUCAUGAGACAUGGAAUCAGGGGCUCAGGAAAGCUUUGGCACCUCUGGUCUUGGAGGUGUUCCAUUUCUGAUUGGAUGUACCCCAGAGCAGUGCUGGUGAUCAUGGGGUUGUGCUUUGCGUCAGGGUUGGGCCCUGCAGGCAGAUUCCUGUGGCCUGGAGCAGCACCAUAUGAAGGUGGGUUUUGCUUGAGACAAGAAUCCUUGAGCUGGAAAAGAUGCAUAGAAUCAUAGAAACGUUAAGGAAAAGAGGAAAAGACCUCUAAGAUCCCCAAAUCCAACCCCACCCCAUCCCACCAUGCCCACUGACCACGUCCCCAAGUGCCACAUCCCCACAGCCCUGGAACACCCCUGGAACAGAGACUCCCCACUGCUCUGGGCAGCUGUACAGUGCUGACCACUCUUUGGAGAAGAAAUUGUUCCCAAGAUCCAAUGUAAUAUCCACCUGUCAAAACAAACAGGGAAACAUGACUUGAAGAAGACCAUGGUUUUACAACGGUACCUUUGGGCUUGGAAAGCACAGCGCUUAUAAGUGGAGACAUUAAAUGCUCUGCAUCCACUAAAGAGUCCAACUUCCUGAAGUGCUGAGCGCUUGUGGGAGCUGGGGCCAUCCCUGUGGCUGCACACCCCAGUGCAGGUCUCAGCAAAGCCCUGUUUCAAACAUCAGUUUUUCCAAGUGCUGUAGCCUCCAUGCAGAAACCUGGGAGAGCAGGCAGGUCACACAGGAGUGACAUGCCACUGAAUUUCAGUGUGAAACAAGGAAACAUGCAGCAUUUCUAGGCUGGAUGUGGUUCUGGGCAGCCUGGUCUGAUGGUUGACGACCCUGCACAUAGCACGGGGGGGUGAAAUUCGAUGAUCAUUGUGGUCCUUUUCAAUCCAGGCCAUUCUGUGAUUCUACAGAAGAGAGGGAAUGUUUUGUAAGGUCAGUGAGACCUUGACGUGCUCUCUUCUUCACUCAGUUUGAUAUGUCUAUACCAGUGGUUUUGCAAAUAUACCCCAAAGUAUAUACAGAAGUACAUAUUGUGCCCUAAGUAUAGGCUCAAUAAAUUAAGCUGUCAUGUUUACUACUAAACUACUGAUAAGCUUGUAACACAU
ensembl:lncRNA